AGUGAACGCUGGCGGUAGGCCUAACACAUGCAAGUCGAACGGCAGCACAGUAAGAGCUUGCUCUUACGGGUGGCGAGUGGCGGACGGGUGAGGAAUACAUCGGAAUCUACUUUUUCGUGGGGGAUAACGUAGGGAAACUUACGCUAAUACCGCAUACGACCUACGGGUGAAAGCAGGGGAUCUUCGGACCUUGCGCGAUUGAAUGAGCCGAUGUCGGAUUAGCUAGUUGGCGGGGUAAAGGCCCACCAAGGCGACGAUCCGUAGCUGGUCUGAGAGGAUGGGGAGCGAGACUGGAACUGAGACACGGUCCAGACUCCUACGGGAGGCAGCAGUGGGGAAUAUUGGACAAUGGGCGCAAGCCUGAUCCAGCCAUACCGCGUGGGUGAAGAAGGCCUUCGGGUUGUAAAGCCCUUUUGUUGGGAAAGAAAAGCAGCAGGUUAAUACCCCGCUGUUCUGACGGUACCCAAAGAAUAAGCACCGGCUAACUUCGUG
rnacentral:rRNA from 1 species